GUGAGGAAUAUUGGUCAAUGGGCGGAAGCCUGAACCAGCCAAGUAGCGUGCAGGAUGACGGCCCUAUGGGUUGUAAACUGCUUUUAUACGGGGAUAAAGUGCGCCACGUGUGGAGCAUUGCAGGUACCGUAUGAAUCAGGACCGGCUAAGUCCGUGCCAGCAGCCGCGGCAAUACGGAAGGUCCGGGCGUUAUCCGGAUUUAUUGGGUUUAAAGGGAGCGCAGGCCGGAAGCAAAGCGUGCCGUGAAAUGUAGAUGCUCAACAUCUGAAUUGCGGCGCGAACGGGUUUUCUUGAGUGCAUACGAGGUAGGCGGAAUUUGUGGUGUAGCGGUGAAAUGCUUAGAUAGCACGAAGAACUCCGGUUGCGAAGGCAGCCUACCAGGAUGUAACUGACGCUAAAGCUCGAAAGUGCGGGUAUCGAACAGGAUUAGAUACCCGAGUAGUCC
rnacentral:rRNA from 1 species